rnacentral:lncRNA from 1 species
AUGUUUACACUAUUUCUUGGUUUUUUCCAUGACUGUUACACUAGGAAAUUAGAAUUUUCCUCUCUUAUGCCCUCUGUACACUCAGCCCCCCCAGGCAGAUGUAUGAUAAGUUGUGGUAAGAUCAAUAUUCAACAGUCACUGUUUCAUCUGUGUAAAUGUUACUCCAUGAGCUGUAUUUAUCUUCUUGUGCAACUGGGUUGCUGUAUGUUAAUAAUUUUCCUGUGUUUGUUUUGUUUUGAGACAGGGUCUCACUAUGUAGUCCUGGCUGGCCUUGAACUCAUUAUGCUGCUUAGGCUGGCCUUGAACCCUCCGAGAUCCUCGUGCCUCGGCCUCCUGAGUGUUGGGAUUGCAGGUGUGCACCACCAUGUCCGGCCGUCUUGGUUUUCUAAGCAUCUCUCUGCUUCAUCACUGAGCGCCCAUGAGUUGCUUCUCUACUGCUCCAACCCAUGCGAGGGCCUCAUCUGAAGCCAAGAAACAAGUGAAAGGGUGUUUCUAAGUCAUAAGCCUGAGCUGGAACUUGGGAUCCUCCUGCCUCAGCCUCCUAGAGCUGGGAUUAUAGACCUGCACUACCAUGCUAAGCUUUUGGUGCCCUCCCCACCACCACCACCAUGGGUCCAACUCAGGACCUUGCACUUGUGAG